rnacentral:misc_RNA from 1 species
GGCUGAGCUAACAUUAAAACUAUCAGCUCUGCAGACUCAGCUUGAUGAUAUUCAUAAUAGAAUAAGGAUGACGAAUGAAUCCUUUUCAAUGCCUCCACUUUCCAUUAGGGACGACGAGGAUGAGGAUGAUGAUGCAUUUGUUAUAUAUAAUUUGUAAAUAGAUUAUUGUAAAUUAUAUCAAGUGAAAUGAGAGAUGAUGUAAAAAAUAUUUAAG